rnacentral:rRNA from 1 species
AGAGUUUGAUCCUGGCUCAGGACGAACGCUGGCGGCGUGCUUAACACAUGCAAGUCGAACGGAAAGGCCCUUCGGGGUACUCGAGUGGCGAACGGGUGAGUAACACGUGGGUGAUCUGCCCUGCACUUUGGGAUAAGCCUGGGAAACUGGGUCUAAUACCGAAUAUGACCACGCUCUUCAUGGGGUGUGGUGGAAAGCUUUUGCGGUGUGGGAUGGGCCCGCGGCCUAUCAGCUUGUUGGUGGGGUAAUGGCCUACCAAGGCGACGACGGGUAGCCGGCCUGAGAGGGUGACCGGCCACACUGGGACUGAGAUACGGCCCAGACUCCUACGGGAGGCAGCAGUGGGGAAUAUUGCACAAUGGGCGCAAGCCUGAUGCAGCGACGCCGCGUGAGGGAUGACGGCCUUCGGGUUGUAAACCUCUUUCACCAGGGACGAAGCGCAAGUGACGGUACCUGGAGAAGAAGCACCGGCCAACUACGUGCCAGCAGCCGCGGUAAUACGUAGGGUGCGAGCGUUGUCCGGAAUUACUGGGCGUAAAGGGCUCGUAGGUGGUUUGUCGCGUUGUUCGUGAAAACUCACAGCUUAACUGUGGGCGUGCGGGCGAUACGGGCAGACUAGAGUACUGCAGGGGAGACUGGAAUUCCUGGUGUAGCGGUGGAAUGCGCAGAUAUCAGGAGGAACACCGGUGGCGAAGGCGGGUCUCUGGGCAGUAACUGACGCUGAGGAGCGAAAGCGUGGGGAGCGAACAGGAUUAGAUACCCUGGUAGUCCAA